rnacentral:lncRNA from 1 species
AUUCUAAAAGCCCUACUCUCUUUCUCAACUCUGGAAUUUUACCACGUAAAUCGCUCACGACGAUCACCAUUUUCCAGUCGCCCAAGCUGGUUGCCGAUCUCCCACAUCCAGUCAAUGUUGAAUCUCGUCCAAUUUUUGCAAGAAUCGCGUAUUGACGGUCAGUUCUUGACUUUUUUUCAGUAACUUCGUUAUUUCUUUAAUUUUUUCAUGGGCUUUUCGUUAUUUGAUGUGUUCCAUUGUUGAUUAAUGUGUUAACAAAUUAGUAUAAUUUAUAGUGAGGGUGAUGGGUUUCUUCUGACUGCUUUAAGGUUAUUAACAGUUCAAUGAUUUUUAUGCAAUGUUUGGUUGUUUAAUUACUGUGUUAACUGUGAGAAAAAAGAAUGUUCGAAGAUGAUCAAAUAAAAGAUGCAACUAAGCUAACGUAGACUUCUCGAUUUGGUAGUGAUCAGGUAUUAUAUAUUCUGUGGUAAAUUAUGUGAAAAAAGGGUUGUAUGUCAUAACAUUUAUUAACUUCUUAUCUUUGAUAUUAUAUUUCUACACUGUACAAUUACUCAUAGAUUUUGAAUCGUAUUCACAAGAACUUUUAAUUUCUCAAUAACUAAUGAUAUUUAAUGAAAAUGUGACUCCCACUUCCACUUCCAAAUCACAAUUUUAGUUUGCAAAUUUGUUGGGUUCACAAAUUUAAGGAUUCCUUACAGUUUACAAUCUUUGAACCAGUUAGGUAUCCUAGGACCUAAGAGAAGUUCGACGAUGCAAUUUGGAGUUGAAAACAUAUUUCGAUAAUUGGUUUUUUUGUUUACUUCUCUUGACUUUCUUAUAGGCUUCGCUAGUUUACCCAACAGAAGAAAACUUACUAUUUUAAACAUUUUGCUCUAUUUGUUUUCCAUAAAAGGGAAGGAAAAUAAGGAGAAAGUAUAGGGAAACAAGUGGAACAAAAUAAAAGCAAGGACAAAAUCUGUGAACCCAAUAGGAAUUGGAGAAUAUAUACCUUGUCGACUUUGAUGUGUGUCAACUAAAAUACUUGUAGUAUGCCCAACCGAUAGCUAUUUCUCAUCCUGUCACAUUUCCCCCUUUUUUUAUGUGAAGAAGGAAUGAACAUUAAACAUUCGUUCCUCUUGUUUCAUUAUUACUUCUAUUAUACUCUAAACAUUGGAGUAGGCCUGCAAGAUUCAAUUAGGCCCUGUUCUCUUUACCGUUUUCGGGCCGUUUUCUGUUUUCGAUUUUUCAAAACGGUGAAAACGUGUUCUCUUUCCCGUUUUCGAAAACGAAUUUUCGAAAACGAAAAAAAAAUUUGUGAAGAAAAUACAAAACGACUUUUUUGUCGUUUUGGGCGUUUUCAGUGUAAAACUUGAAAAAACUGAAAACGCGGGAAACACCUUUUUUUUUUUUUCAGAGGUGGUAUGGUGAUUCUCAAAAUUUCAAAAAAAAAAAAUUAAAAAUUAUUAUUUUAUAUAUAUAUAUAUAUAUAUAUAUAUAUAUAUAUAUAUAUUUAUUUAUUUAUUUAUUUAUUUAUUUUUUUUUUUGAGGUGAUCUUGUGGUGAUUCUUAAAAUUUCAAAAAAAAAAAAAUUCAUUUUUUUUGUUUUGAGAAACUAACAAAAAGAACGCAUUUUCAACAAUUUCAAAACAAACACUCAAAACACAAAACUCAAAAUGAAUUUAAAACUCAAAAUACAAAACUGAAACACAAAGAGAACACCCCCUUAACUUUUAAUGAGAAUGUUGCUUAUAACAUGAAUAGCUUUCAAAAAUAAGGUCUUGAUCUACAUUAAUACCACAGUGCAUAAUGUUUUCAGUCAUGCAAUUGUUCUUGUAGCCCUAAACUUUGAUUAUGCUUACUAUAAUUAGCGCCUCUCAUGUAAUAAAAAUGAAGAUUGCCGUACUUUGAGAGCUUGAAUACAUGUCUGAAGGUAUUUUAGUGUUAUUCAUAUAAUUAUCCUGGAUUAUUGCUCUUUGAUUUUGUAUUUUGGCAAUAUCUUUGACUCUUAGUUGGUCAAUUUCAUGUUGACUUUUUUUAAAAGGUAUGUAAUCGUUUUAAAUUCCAAAUUGGAUAGUUGGCAAUGCGCUGCUUGGUGUAAUUUUCAAACCAUUUUCAUUUAAAAAUUUCCAAUUGGUGUUACGGUAAAUAAUUGUUAAGCCACUAUCAUAUGGUUUUGUGUGUUAGUUUUUAUGAGUAUAUCAUAUUUGCAUUCGAGUUAACAAAGACAUCACAUAAAAAUGACAAACCCACAAUUCACGAUCUUAUAAUGUAUUUCAAGUUGUCAAUAUUUUACCUCAAAUUACUUAAGAAAUACAUAGGAACGAUGUCCAUUUUAGGUAUGGAGUUUAUGGGGGAGGAGGGUUGGGGCUAGCAAAUGAUGCUUUCUAUUUCAAGUUCUGUUGUGAUGUUACUUUGACAGUUUUCUUCUUGGGUAUUAUUUUUUUUAGUGUAAUAUGUGGUUCAAUUUGGUUUCAUUUUGCAAGUGCUUGGUUUUGAGAAGCCAAAUUGAUUUUCUGAUAUUUGGUUCAGUUUGCAAGUGCUUGAUUUUGUUCUCUUCUUCGUAUGCUAAUUUCGUGAAUCAUAGAGCUUCCCACGCUAUGCUUUUUCUUAUGCAUUUGUAGUUCUUAUUUUUCUAAACAAUGCUCAAGGUACACGUGCAAUCUUGAAAAUAAGUGUAUUAAGGCAAAAAUGAAGUUGCAUGGCACAAUCCUUAGUCUUGCAUUAAAAUUAACUGUUAGCUAGAUGCCAAAAUGAGUUGAACAAUUUUUGCCCUGUCAUGUUCAUGCCUACAUGUGAACUCUCUUUGUCUUCUAUAUAUAUUUAUUAUCCGUUGUUACCUUUUUGAUUUUUUUGUCCAAUUAUAUAAGAAUGCAGAUUCCUCAUGUUGUCGUUCUUAUACACAUUAAAUUAAUAUCGUUCAAUAAGAUAUUGCUACAUUAUUUAAUUACUCGGGGUUGCACAUUUCAAUGUUGGAAAACAUGAUGAAAUUAUUUGUCUUUGUGAUUUCGUAUAUUUAUUAAGUUAUUUUAUGUACUUAAUAGAUUCUUAUAUUAUUUGUCAUGUUCUUUUUUUCUUUUUCUUUUUUUUUAAUUCGUAGAUAACUUCAUUGCACCGAUACAAAAUUCAGGAGGAAGAUCACGUUUUGGCCCAGAUUUCACAGAUUAGCAACAUCAAAUAUAUAUCAGUUGUCCUGGACAAAUUCGAAACAAAGCAGAAGAUUAUGUUGAGGAAAGCUAUUUAGGACGUCGCGAAGUUGCUCGAGCUCAAAUUAUAUGCACAAUUAGUUCAUGAAAUGGCUAAUAGAUCAGUGAUUUACCAAAAACCUUUCAAGGCUUGGUUCAAGGUGAAUCAACGAUUUACAAGAUUUGGAAUGUCAGAGUUUGCACUAAUCACUAGCUUGAAGUGUGGUGAAUUGCCUAAAGGAUCGGCUUCCGACAACAUUCUAGAGAAAACCCGACUAUGGGACUAGAUGUUUACCAAUAGAGAACAGAUAACUUAUAGUGAUCUUGAGAAGGUUUUUCUGAAAUGUGUCAACCAUAACGCUCGUUACAACCUUGGGUUGGUACAAACUACUGAAGGUAUUUUUAAUUCGAGAGUCCGAAAUAUAGGGAUUUAUCCUGAAAAUCUCUUUAUUGUAGACGAAUUAGAUUUCUUCAAUGCCUACCCUUGGGGGACACUGUGCUUUAUACUUCUUAUCAAAUUACUGCUCCGUGGAUGGGAGAGAAAGGCGACUUGGCGAAGGUUAACAAUUGUGAUAGGAUAUCCUACACGUUGUGGGGAUUCCCUCUUGCUAUUUAGGCAUGUCCAUAUAUUUCAUUCAUAUUCGUUGCACAUUGUUAUUUAUAUCUAUAAAUGGUAACCACUAUUAUACAUGUGUUGCAGUUGUGGCGGUACGAGGUAAUCUCAGAGUUGAGAGCUUGAUUCACGAGCAAGAUUAGUGAUGGCCUUCCAAGGAUGUUGUGGUGAUCUACCACAAGACAACCUUAAUCGAGAACAUAUUCAGAUUUUUUUCGACAAGACACCUGUGAGCAUUUACAUAUACAACUACAUUUACGCUUACAACAUAUAUCAUAAUUUUCUUUGACAAGACACUUUCCUCCCUUUAUAGUUGCAUUUGUCGGUAACUUUGCGCCAUACUGUUGUAGAAGAAUUGUAGUUAUACUUUGCGACUUUACUUCUAUUCGAUGAUGUUGCUGACCCUAUUCUCGACAAUCUCGUCGUUCAAUCAACUGAAAUACAAGAUUGCUUACCAGAAGGCAAAGUGAUACACAAUGGAGAGAAUAGCAACCGAUGCAACAAAUCCAGGAGAGCUAACAAAGUGGGAUUAAUCUUCGGGAUUUCAAUGACAAUGAAGGUAGAGAAGAAGAGCAUUGUAAUCCACUCUAGGACUUUCCAUCCAGUUAUGGCUUGGAAAAUCGCGAACCAUGUAUAUAGAUGAGAUAAAGCCAUGUUGACUGAACAGAGAGAGUUCAUUGCAAUCAGGCUGGGCAAAUUGCGGAAAGAAAUGAACGCGAGGUUUAGUCGUAUUGAGCAGAAAAUGGGGGUCACGUGUGUAACAUGAAGGAGCAUGUGACUGAUUAGAUAAGUGUGAUCAAAUGCAGAUUCAAGGUGUGGUUACAAAAAUUGGGAAACAACAUGUGCGUGAAGAGUAUGGUGUAUUUGGUUGUGCUAACAAUGAUGGAGAUAUGUAUGUACUUGAUUACUAUGAUGAUUUGUCGUCUUCUAACACUAAAAUUGACGAAUAGCAUGUCGAGGCAACAAAAGUGUAAUCCUAUCAACGUCGAGGCAACCUAACUAGAUGCUGGCAACGUGGAUGAGUUGUCCAAAAAGUGCAGAUGUGAUUUCUACAAAUGCUCUACCGCCACCUCGACCUCCAUCCCUCGGGGUGAAGCUUUCAAGUGGUAGCACUUAGACUUUUUUCAUAUUGUCCGAUCGUAAAAAGGGUAAGAAAGGUAUGUAGUUAGUUCACAAUGUUGGUGGAGCAUGGUAUUGUGUGAUUGGGAAAGCAUUUAUAACCUCAUUUUGUAUACCAUCGUAAGGUAGAAUAUUUGGUUGAUGGAACAGUUCUCAUUGUUGAUGUAGAAUUAAAAUGGAGACGAGUAUUUAUUUCAGUCUAUACUUAUUGUUUUGGACUUAUAUUGUGC